AAAGAAAAAUUUUAUGAUUUAGGGAAUUUAUUAUAAAAUUUAUUUUACAUAUAAAUUUUAGUGUUAAAUUUUGUUUAUUUUAAUAAUAAAUUAAAUUUAUUUUAUAGUAAUUAAUAUUAAAAAUUUAGGAAAUUAAGAUUUAGUAAUAUAUUAUGAAGUUUAAUUAAUAACAAAUUUUGUGCCAGCAGUUGCGGUUAUACAAAAGUUAAUAAUAAAUUUUAUUAGUCAUUAAUAAAUAAGUUAUAUAUAUAUAUAUAGAUUAUAGGAAAAUUUUAAAUUAUUAGGUGAAAUUUUAAUUUAAUUAAAAUUAUAAUAAAUUUAUGAUUUAGUAAAUUUUUUAAAAAACUAGGAUUAGAUACCCUAUUAUUAAAAUUUAAAUUAAUUAUACUAAAGUAGUAGAUAGGUUUAUUGAAAUUUAAAUGAUUUGGCGGUAUUUUAGUUCAUUUAGAGGAACCUGUUUAGUGAUUGAUAGUCCACGAGUAAAUUUACUUAAUUUUUGAUUUUGUAUAUCGUUGUUAAAAAAAUAUUUAUUAAUAAUAAAUAAUAUUUUAAAAUUUGAAUUAUAUAAAAUUAAAUCAAAUCAAGAUGCAGAUAAUAAUUAAGUUUUUAAUGGGUUACAAUAAAUUUAAUUUAAAUGAAUUUUUAAUUUUAAUUAUUACAAGGAAAGUGGAUUUAAAUGUAAUUUUAUUUAAAUAAGUAAAAUGAUUAAAAUUUAAAAUAUGUACAUAUUGCCCGUCGCUUUCAUAUAUUUUAAAAUGAGAUAAGUCGUAACAAAGUAGAGGUACUGGAAAGUGUUUCUAGAAAGA
rnacentral:ncRNA from 1 species